rnacentral:tRNA from 1 species
GCGAGCAUCGAUUAAUGGUAAGUUCCCUGCCUUCCAAGCAGGUGUUAUGGGUUCGAUCCCCAUUGCUCGCA